rnacentral:rRNA from 1 species
UAGGGAAUCUUCCACAAUGGACGCAAGUCUGAUGGAGCAACGCCGCGUGAGUGAAGAAGGUCUUCGGAUCGUAAAGCUCUGUUGUUGGUGAAGAAGGAUAGAGGCAGUAACUGGUCUUUAUUUGACGGUAAUCAACCAGAAAGUCACGGCUAACUACGUGCCAGCAGCCGCGGUAAUACGUAGGUGGCAAGCGUUGUCCGGAUUUAUUGGGCGUAAAGCGAGCGCAGGCGGAAUGAUAAGUCUGAUGUGAAAGCCCACGGCUCAACCGUGGAACUGCAUCGGAAACUGUCAUUCUUGAGUGCAGAAGAGGAGAGUGGAACUCCAUGUGUAGCGGUGGAAUGCGUAGAUAUAUGGAAGAACACCAGUGGCGAAGGCGGCUCUCUGGUCUGCAACUGACGCUGAGGCUCGAAAGCAUGGGUAGCGAACAGGAAUUAGAUACCCUGGUAGUCCA